rnacentral:rRNA from 1 species
GACGAACGCUGGCGGCGUGCCUAAUACAUGCAAGUUGAGCGCUGAAGGUUGGUACUUGUACCAACUGGAUGAGCAGCGAACGGGUGAGUAACGCGUGGGGAAUCUGCCUUUGAGCGGGGGACAACAUUUGGAAACGAAUGCUAAUACCGCAUAAAAACUUUAAACACAAGUUUUAAGUUUGAAAGAUGCAAUUGCAUCACUCAAAGAUGAUCCCGCGUUGUAUUAGCUAGUUGGUGAGGUAAAGGCUCACCAAGGCGAUGAUACAUAGCCGACCUGAGAGGGUGAUCGGCCACAUUGGGACUGGGACACGGCCCAAACUCCUACGGGAGGCAGCAGUAGGGAAUCUUCGGAGAUGGAGGAAAGUCUGACCGAGAAACGCCGCGUGAGUGAAGAAGGUUUUCGGAUCGUAAAACUCUGUUGGUAGAGAAGAACGUUGGGGGGAGUGGAAAGCUCAUCAAGUGACGGUAACUACCCAGAAAGGGACGGCUAACUACGUG